CUGAGUCCCUCUCCCCGGCAUCCCUGGGCCACAUUUCCCAGCAAAGCCUGGGAGGUGCCAGGGCUGUUCUUGCCAGUGCUGCUCUGCUCCGCUGGAGCUGCUCUGCUGGCAGGAGAAAGCCAGAGGAACCUGUGAGAGAGUGUGAGACGUUGCUUGCCAAGAGGCAAGGAGCAGGAGCAAGGGAGUGAACACCGCUUCCCCAUCUGCUGCACAGCAUGGAGAAUGAGGUGUUCAGAUACCUGCUCUUCAAACCCUUGGAUCCCAAGCAGCUUUCCUUACUUCAGGAACUCACCACCUUGGAAAUCUGCAGAGUGUGGGAAGGCACAUCCAAGUAUAUCCGGAGACAGCUGCUGGAGAAGAGGGUGAGUCUUACCUCCUGCUUGUGGGCCAGCUCGUCCCUUCGCACCUGAGCAGCGGGCAGGCCACACAGCACCAUGCCCAGGCCCAGCAGGUCACCCAGCACCUUUCUUACCUCCACCCAGCGCUGCCAUGGCUCCCUCUUGUUUGACUUUUCAGGCGGUGGAUAUUGGAAUUGGGAGCUUU
rnacentral:lncRNA from 1 species